rnacentral:rRNA from 1 species
GUGGCGAACGGGUGAGUAAUGUGCCGGAACGUACCAUUCAGUGGGGGAUAACGUAGCGAAAGUUACGCUAAUACCGCAUAUUCCGUGAGCAGGAAAGCAGGGGAUCGCAAGACCUUGCGCUGAUUGAGCGGCCGAUAUCAGAUUAGCUAGUUGGUGAGGUAAAGGCUCACCAAGGCGACGAUCUGUAGCGGGUCUGAGAGGAUGAUCCGCCACACUGGAACUGAGACACGGUCCAGACUCCUACGGGAGGCAGCAGUGGGGAAUUUUGGACAAUGGGGGCAACCCUGAUCCAGCCAUGCCGCGUGAGUGAAGAAGGCCUUCGGGUUGUAAAGCUCUUUCGGCCGGGAAGAAAUCGUAUGGGCUAAUACCCUGUGCGGAUGUCGGUACCGGCAUAAGAAGCACCGGCUAACUACGUGCCAGCAGCCGCGGUAAUACGUAGGGUGCGAGCGUUAAUCGGAAUUACUGGGCGUAAAGCGUGCGCAGGCGGUUUGAUAAGACAGGCGUGAAAUCCCCGGGCUCAACCUGGGAACUGCGUUUGUGACUGUCUCACUAGAGUACGGCAGAGGGGGGUGGAAUUCCACGUGUAGCAGUGAAAUGCGUAGAGAUGUGGAGGAACACCAAUGGCGAAGGCAGCCCCCUGGGUCGAUACUGACGCUCAUGCACGAAAGCGUGGGUAGCAAACAGGAUUAGAUACCCUGGUAGUCCACGCCCUAAACGAUGUCAACUAGGUGUUGGGAGGGUAAAACCUUUUAGUACCGGAGCUAACGCGUGAAGUUGACCGCCUGGGGAGUACGGCCGCAAGGUUAAAACUCAAAGGAAUCGACGGGGACCCGCACAAGCGGUGGAUGAUGUGGAUUAAUUCGAUGCAACGCGAAAAACCUUACCUACCCUUGACAUGUCCAGAAGCCCUUAGAGAUUUGGGUGUGCCCGAAAGGGAACUGGAACACAGGUGCUGCAUGGCUGUCGUCAGCUCGUGUCGUGAGAUGUUGGGUUAAGUCCCGCAACGAGCGCAACCCUUAUCGUUAAUUGCCAUCAUUUAGUUGGCACUUUAGCGAGACUGCCGGUGACAAACCGGAGGAAGGUGGGGAUGACGUCAAGUCCUCAUGGCCCUUAUGGGUAGGGCUUCACACGUCAUACAAUGGUCGGUGCAAAGGGUCGCCAACCCGCGAGGGGGAGCCAAUCCCAGAAAGCCGAUCGUAGUCCGGAUCGUAGGCUGCAACUCGCCUGCGUGAAGUCGGAAUCGCUAGUAAUCGUGGAUCAGCAUGUCACGGUGAAUACGUUCCCGGGUCUUGUACACACCGCCCGUCACACCAUGGGAGCGGGUUCCGCCAGAAGUAGGUAGCCUAACCGCAAGGAGGGCGCUUACCACGGCGGGGUUCGUGACUGGGGUGAAGUCGUAACAAGGUA